UAAUGGUGGAUGCCUUGGCAAUUUGAGCCGAAGAAGGACGUGUGUGUAAGCACGAUAUCGUCGAUGAGCCCGUAAGCAGGCAUUUUAAUCGGCGGUUUCCGAAUGGGACAACCCCUUUCUGUGUAAACAGAGAGAUCCCCCGCCUUUGGCGGGAGGAAGGCAACCCGGUGAACUGACACAUCUUAGUAACCGGAGGAAAAUAAAACAAAAAUAGUGAUUCCGUCAGUAGCGGCGAGCGAAAGCGGAGAAGUCUAAACCCUGAAGUAGAGCGCAAGCUCUCACUUCAGGGGGUUGCGGGACCUUGCAUACGGUUUGUUUUUGAUAGGAGAACACGGUGGAAAACGUGAUCAUAGAGAGUGAUAAUCUCGUAUCCGAAAUCGAAAACAAGCUCGCGAGGAUUCCCAAGUACCACGAGCCACGGAAAAUCUUGUGGGAAUCUGGGGCGGUCAUGCUCCAAGACUAAAUACUCAAAUUGACCGAUAGUGAACUAGUACCGUGAGGGAAAGGUGAAAAGUCCCCCUGUGAGGGGAGUGAAAUAGUACCUGAAACCAUUAACUAACAAACAGACAGAGUCCCGCCAUUGGCGGGAUAAUGUCGUGCCUAUUGAAGAAUGAGCCAGCGAGUUUUCAAUAUCUGCCGUAAUAGGUUAACCAAUUAAUUUGGGAAGCCGUAGCGAAAGCGAGUCUUAAUUAGGGCGUGAUCAUGCUUAAUUGCAUAAUCAGGUAGAUGUUGGAAGACCCGAAACUGGGUGAGCUAACCAUGGACAGGGUGAGUCCCGCCGAAAGGUGGGAGGAGGCCCGAACUCUUCGUCGGCGAAAUGACGUGAGAUGAUCUGUGGUUAGGGGCAAUAUGCCAAUCGAACCCAGAGAUAGCUGGUUCUCCCCGAAAUAUAUUUAGGUAUAGCCUCGUAUCAAUCUUUCCAGGGGUAGAGCUACUGGAUUUCCUCUCUAGGCCGUAAGGCCUGGUGGGGACAACCAAACUCCAAAUACUGUGGAAGUUAGGAUACGGGAGUCAGACCUGCUCGGAUAAGCGAGUGUGGUCAAAAGGGAAACAACCCAGAUUCCCAUCUAAGGUCUUUAAGUAAUUAUUAAGUGGUAAAGGUAGUUGAGUUUCAAAGACAGACGGGAGGUUGGCUCAGAAGCAGCCAUCCUUUAAAGAGUGCGUAACAGCUCACCGUAAUAUGCCGCCCUCGGGCGCGCAUGAGGCUUGGCGCCGAAAAUGAUUCGAGUCUCAAAUAAUUCACCGAAGAUGGAAACCGUCCCGCAUUGCGGGACGAGUGGUAGGGGAGCUUUCUUUUUGCAGUGAAGCCCAGGUGUAAACCGAGGUGGAGCGGAAAGAAGUGAGGAUGCUGGCAUGAGUAGCGAUUCUGUGGGUGAAAAUCCCGCAUGCCGAAUGUUCAAGGUUUCCUCAGCAACGUAAAUCGACUGAGGGUUAGUCGGAUCUAACCGCGGCGUCCGAUAUGGGCGACGGGGGAUGUACAAGACGUCAAUAUUCGUCUACUUUUUUAUAUGCGUUAUUACUUUGUAGAUGACGAGGUAUGAGCACCCAGGUUAUGCGCAAGCGUAGCUUAAAUAGUAAGUCCUAAUUCAUUUUAGGGCAAGCUAUGAUGAAUACGGUUUGUCUUUAGGGGCAAAUUGUAGCUGGAAUGUUUACAUCUCCGGGAAAAGACUACAUAAGGAGUGUAUAGAAAAUCCGUACCGUAAACCGACACAGGUGAACUGGUCGAGAAGACUAAGGCAAUCGAGUAAGGAUGGUUCAAGGAAUUCGGCAAACAAUCUGGACGUAACUUAGGGAGAUGUCCUGUCCCGCCUCAGGCGGGAUUACAACAAAAGAUUUUCAUCUAACUGUUUAUCUAAAACACAGGUCCCUGCAAACCCGUAAGGGGAAGUAUAGGGGCUGAGGCCUGUCCAGUGCUGGUAAGUUAAAAAUUGGGGUUGAAGUCGCCUUCGGGUGAUCAGGCUCUGAUUUAAGCUCCAGUGAACGACAGCGGUAACUCUGACCGUUCUAAGGUAGCGUAAUCCCUUGCCGGGUAAGUUCCGGCCCGCAUGAAAGGCUUAAUAAGAUGAAAACUGUCUUGAACCAUUGCUCGGCGAAAUUGAAAUGGCUGUGAAGAUGCGGCCUACCUG
rnacentral:rRNA from 1 species